rnacentral:rRNA from 1 species
UGGGGAUCCUUCGGGACCUAUCGUUUGAGGAGGGGUUUACUUCACAUCAGCUUGUUGGCGAGGUAAAAGCUCACCAAGGCUAUGACGUGUAGCCGGCCUGAGAGGGUGUUCGGCCUCAUUGGGACUGAGACACUGCCCAGACUCCUACGGGAGGCUGCAGUAAUGAAUAUUCGGCAAUGCGCGAAGGCGUGACCGAGCGACGCCGCGUGGGUGAAGAAGGCCUUAGGGUUGUAAAUCCCUUUUGUGUUCUAGGAAUAAACCAGUUAUAAUACGACUGGCGAUGACCGGGUCACGAAUAAGUUCCGGCUAACUCCGUGCCAGCAGCCGCGGUAAUACGGAGGGAGCAAACGUUGUUCGGAAUCACUGGGCAUAAAGGGCACGUAGGCGGCUUGGUAAGUGGAAUGUGAAAUUUUUCGGCUCAACCGGAAAAGUGCAUCCCAAACUGCCUGGCUUGAGUAUAGUAGAGGUGAGUGGAACUCUAGGUGGAGCGGUGAAAUGCAUUGAUAUCUAGAGGAACGUCGGUGGCGAAAGCGACUCACUGGGCUAUUACUGACGCUGAGGUGCGAAAGCUAGGGGAGCAAACAGGAUUAGAUACCCUGGUAGUCCUAGCUGUAAACGAUGAGCACUAGAUAGGGGGGGUACCCAUGCCGUCCUUGUCGUAACUAAUGUAUUAAGUGCUCCGCCUGGGGAGUACGGUCGCAAGGCUGAAACUCAAAGGAAUUGACGGGGGCUCACACAAGCGGUGGAGUAUGUUGUUUAAUUCGAAGCAACGCGAAGAACCUUACCAGGGCUUGACAUGCACGGAUUAGCUUUAUGAAAGUUUAGUAACUCCUUAACGGGUGGAACGUGCACAGGUGCUGCAUGGCUGUCGUCAGCUCGCGUCGUGAGAUGUUGGGUUAAGUCCCAUAACGAGCGAAACCCUUGUCACUAGUUGCCAGCGCGUAAUGGCGGGGACUCUAGUGAGACUGCCGGUGCUUGAACCGGAGGAAGGCGGGGAUGACGUCAAGUCCUCAUGGCCCUUAUGUCCUGGGCUACAAACGUACUACAAUGGUCGGUACAAAGGGCAGCGAAAUCGUGAGAUGGAGCAAAUCUCAGAAAGCCGGCCUCAGUUCAGAUUGUAGGCUGCAACUCGCCUACAUGAAGUUGGAAUCGCUAGUAAUCGCGGAUCAGCUACGCCGCGGUGAAUAUGUUCCUGAGCCUUGUACACACCGCCCGUCAAGCCACGAAAGCUGGAAGCGCCCGAAGUCAUACCUCUAACCUCUUCGGAGGAAGGGGAUGCCGAAGGUGAAGCUGGUGAUUGGGACUAAGUCGUAACAAGGUA